rnacentral:lncRNA from 1 species
CUCCAUGACCAUGACGCUGCCCGUCACCACCAAUUUCUGCUAGGUGAGGCGCUUUCCCACGACGUCACUCACAAGCCCGGCUGUCGUGCAGUCCUCUCCUCUGAUGCUUCACUGCCGUGACUUCCUCCUCGCUGCCACACAUGCCCCUGCAGCAACCCUAGCCGCCACGGGCCUCCGGUGCGACUCCCGCGUAGGCCCUCUACCCCGCAUCUCCGUAUGCGCCGGUGCCAGCUCGGGCUCAACGGUGUUGCCCGCCUCUGGAGACCUCGCCUUCGAUAUUGACGAUUUAGUAAGGAAUUUCUCUGCUCUGCUCGUACCCUCUCUAGAUCUGGUUCCUUGUGGUGACAUAGCAUCGUUCCAUGGUCGAUUCUUUUCCGGAAAUCAGAAGCAUUGUCUACGCUACCUAGUUUCAGUCGUUGUGGUAUCAUGCAUCACGGAUGGAUAACAGCUCAUCCCAUCACGGCCAGUGACCUUGCCGGAGGCUCAAAAUUUCACUUCACAAUUCUAGGUAUUUUAAUUCGUGCUUGCAUCUUUCAGUGUGCAAUGCUAUUAGUUCUGCACAUGCAAGCCAGUUGUUUCUACUUUGGUUGCUCUAAUUGGAUGUAUGGCUGAGCCCGUAUGUGUUAAUUCUGAAAGAGUGCUUGUGUGUCCUUUUUUUAUCUCAAUAGUUCGUUCUUGCUGCUAUUUGUGUGGAUGAAUCCUUGCCAAUUUUAUUGUCACAUGUCGUGUAAUACUGUAGGAAUAAGUCUCACAUGUGUACAUCUUUCCCAAUAUUCCUCUUUAUUGUAUAUAUAAUCCUUAUUUUCAUCUUGCCUUACAGGUUCUGAAAUUGACAUUGCUUCAGCCAACAUGUGUGUGCUUGUUUGAUUGCAUUCUCAUCCUAGUAGCAGUUCAAUCUGUUCUGUUGAUGAACAUGCAGGUGAGGCUGCAACAUGGUUUUGAGUUACCAAAAUAUUGUCUGCCUUAGUUAACAAAUAGCUGACUCAUUUCAAUGGUUGAUCCGCCUGCUGAGUUGAGCAUGAAGUUUUGGUCUGACCUUUUCAUUGCGGUGCUUGCAGAAUGGUGUCGUGGCAGCACUGCACAAUUAAUUAACUACGCUGAGAAACAUUGUAGCUCUUCUUUUCGUGCCCACACACUAUGGAGCCACCAGCCUGCUCGAUUUGCCCUCACACAGUGCCAACCCUGUGAGAGAAAAUUAUGGUACUGAUUUCUUAGGUUAUAAGGUUAUGUGUUCCCCUAGGAUUUAAGAUGGUGAAGUUACUUGAUGUAGGACCUAGGGUAUACUAUAACUGUAUCACCUUUUGUUGUUUAUCGGCUUGCUUCAAUAAGAACUUCAGUGCUUGAGUCCAACCCUUUAAGGUUUCACUUUGCUCCAAUUACUCAAUCAGAACUCGUGGUUCUAUAUGUUGUAGGCUCUGAACUUCCUUCAAUCAGAAUCUAUUUUUUCACAAGAUUAUGAAAUAUUUAUGUCCCCCAGGUUCUUAUUGGCCAAUUUCUCAGAUUAGGAGUUGAUAUAAACAUCAAUAUGCUCAAGGUAAUAGACCCUACUUUGCAUAGUAAACCAUAUUGAGCUAUUGUGAAUGCAAAACAUCUUUAAUAACUGAAGAUGAUGUCACAACCCUACUUUGGUUUAUAGAUUACAAAGAGAUUGCCCAAUCUAGAAAAGAAAAGGUGUAUGCCAAACUGAAGAGUCGUGUGACGUAAGCAGCUGAGAUGCUAAAAAGUUUGUGUAAGUUCUACUGGCUUGCUCCCGAAUAUUAGCUUGCUCGAAUAGAAAAUGUCUCAGAAUCUUCUGAAAGAUCAUUUGUUGAUGUUAUUUGAGCAAAGAAGUGUGUAAUUUCCCAAUCUACAUUACUACUAAUGCUAUUUUGAUGUAAUGCUACAUUUGAUAUCUUCUAGCAUUCCUUUUAGAUUUUAUGCUACGUUUGAAUAGAGGGUUGCCAAGGGUCCUGUAGCUUACAGACGCUAAUAUCUCAUUUUGUCAAGAUAGUUAAGACUUCUUGUACUAAAGUUUACUAUAUCAAUUUUGUACUAAAAAUUUACCCUGUUUUACUAAAUUAUCUUGCUACUAAUUUUUGCAUUGCUGUACUAAAAUUUGCCUUUCUAUUGUUGUACUAAAAUUUAACCAUUGAGUAGGUAGGAAGAAUUCUACGGAGCAAUAAUAAUGAUUAAGGAGCGCCCAGGAGAAACCAAAUCACAAUCCACUCCCAAAACAUAACCAGUACAUGAUUCAUGAUAGAAUUGCACUAGACACAUGACAAUUGUAUAACUCCAUGUAGUAGAGUGUACCUGAUGCCUAUAUUGUUCCUUUUUAACUUGUUCGCAGAAACCAGUAUAUAAAUAUAUGUCUUGGUAAAUCACAUUGUGAGCAUGUAUCUCGGUACGUAAUUCAGGCACAUUCAAAUUUGGCCAUGUGUGAAUCAUUUUCUUUGAACAUAAAGUAUUUUUGAGUUGUUGAAACCUUGCAUCUAUUUGUAUUUUCUAGAGAACUAUAGAUCUUUCUUUGAAACCAAACAAUGUGUUGUGUGUUAGCACAUGUUUAUUUAAGGGAAAUACCUCAUUUCUUACAGAGUAUGUUUGCCUUAAGGUCUACAUGGACUCAAUUGAUGACAUAUAGUAGAUUUUUUCAUAAGAAAACAAGGAUCAAAAGUGUUUGUCAGAUGUAGGCUAUUACUCUCCUUUUGUGCAUACAAAGCUACUAAUGUCAUGACCUUCAACCUCCUUUACAUUUUGCUCCUCCUUUACAUUUUGCUGAUCUAUUAACUUGAUUUUAUCUACAGUAAGUUACUCAUCUCGUUUCUUUGGUUUUGUAGAUUGUCAAGAUAAAAUGGAUAAUGCAUGGCUUGGAUGCUGAUUGCAAGGAUGCGAAUGGUGCUACAACUGGAUAAUUAGAAUGUCAUUUUCAGGAUGAUGUUUGAAACAUUAUAGUUGAUUGCAAGGUCUAGAAAUUGGCUACUACUUGAUAGUUUCACAUCUUGUAAUCUUUGGAUCCUGUUCUUUGUAAUGCAACAUAGUUGAUUUAAUAUAUGAGACCUUCCAGUUUAUUAUAUUGUGUCUCCUAUACACUAGAUAUAUUGACCUUGUAAUUCUGGAUGUCAAUAUAUAAAAUAUCAUAAAUUAUUCAUGCCAU